GCUCAGGCCGGAGGUUUCGGGGCUCAGCCUGGAGGUUUACGGGGCUCAGCCUGGCGUUACGGGGUGCACUCUGUGGUGCCAGGCUGAAUCACCGCCCCGGGUCGCCAUUGUCGUUGUCCCCAGGCAGGCCCAGCCGCAGAUCCCUCCUUAGGGCAAGACGUUAAUUAACAGGUGGGACGGUGCCUCUUUUUCUGUGCCGUGGGGCACUUUUAGUGUAAAAUAAUCCCUGUCAGCAGGUUACGCAAGGUGUUUUGCAAAAACAACGGCAGAGCAGGCAGAGCAUCCUCACCACUGCCGCCUUCCUGCCUGAGAGGACCUGGGGCUGCUCUCCGGGUGAGGCAGCUGUGACCCGCAGCUUUCCUGGCGACAGGAAUCUUUUCUUGUGACCAUUUUGCCUUAGUAAGUGGAAGGCUUAUUAAUUCUUUCUGUAGAGCCCUGGCUGAGCCUAAGCAAAUUUAAUAUACAAGUUGUUCAAGCGUUUUAGGGUACAGACUGCACUCCCUGAGGUACAGCGUGCUGUUGGAUGAUCACAUCUUGGGACAGGAGCAUGCUCCUUACACAGGCAACGGGAACGGAGGUCAGAGUGGAGGAACAUGCACCACUUUACACCAGUGAGCAUCACUCCAUGCUGCCUUUGCACUAAGGCAUGCUAUAGGCUUCCUCCAUUUCAGCCUGCUCUCGUCGCUGCACAAGGACUUACCCUGUUCAUCAGUCUUUUCCUGUGAUGUGGGGUGACGAGAGUCAGAAAUGAAAGGAAUGUUUUCCCAAGACUUGCUAGUUUUAUUUAGUUUGGUUUAAAAUAGACCUCUGACAAAGAUAAUAACAAGCGUCAGCAAGACAUUGCAUUAAGGUGGACCUGAAGCUCAUUGCUUGUGAUGUGGAAAAAGUUCACCAUAACGCUUUCUGUGCUGAGUUCUUUGAAUUUGGGGAUUUUAAUCCUGUAGGCAUAUCUGCAUAGCACCUUGGAUGCUUUAACCUUUGUAACGCUAAGGGUGCUCCCCCUGUAGCCUGUCCUUCCCUUGUAACCGCACACCUGGACGCUGCUUCCUGGCCCUUUUCUGUGGUAUCAAUCAUAGGUUCACAGAAUGGUUUGGGUUGGAAAGGACCUUAAAGGUCAUCCAGUUCCAGGGGCAGGGACACUUGGCACCAGCCCAGGCUGCUCCCAGCCCCGUCCAGCCUGGCCCUGAGCACUGCCAGGGAUGGGGCACCCACAGCUGCUCUGGGCAGCCUGGGCCAGUGUCUCACAGGAAAUAAUUUCUUCCUAAAAUCUAAUCGAAAUCUUCCCUCUUUCAGCUUAAAACCAUCCCCCCUUGUCCUAUCGCUACAGGCCCUCAUAAAAAGUCUGUCUCCAUCUUUCUUACCAGCCCCCUUUAAGUACUGAAAGGUGGCUAUAAGAUUUUCCUGGAGACCAGGUACCCAGUGCCCUCACCCUCUGUGCCCUGCGGGUGCAUUCUAAUGUGCUUUUCUGGCUGUUGUGUCUGGUUUCUCCUAAAAACUGAUUACCAUGGGUAAGUGAAACAUCCUUUCUUACCCCUUUUUUUUAUCCUUUACCUUGUAGCUUUUAGUUUAUAACUUUAGAGCCUACUGGAUAAUACAGUAGAUAAAUAAUUUACAUCCUCAAUGAAUAUUUCUUGCAUGUUACAGGUGCAUGGAGCGUGCAAUUCCUGCCCCUCAUCACGUGUGCCCCAGUCAGUGCUGGCAUCAUCUUGGGCGGGACCAACCAGUAAUGAGAUGAAGUGAGUUUUGAUGAAAACUGUAUUGUUACUGUUGGAAAACUGCUCUGUGGGCUCCCUGCUCCACUGGAGAGGGUGUCGAGAAGAGGACAGUUGUCUGGAAGACCCCAUUGCUGCUUUUUGUGGCUGGUCACUGGGAUGAUGGUUUUCCGUCUCUCUUUUUUUCUCUCUCUUUUUCUCUCCUUGUUUUCAUUGUGGUUUUUGUUGUUUUUAUUGUUUGGGUGUUUGGGGAUUUGUUUGCAAAGAAGAUUGCAAAGCUGAAGACUGUAGAGAUGUCCAAGAAGAUGGAGAGGGCCCCUGGGCACACAGAGGAAGGAAUAAGAAAACAUACUACGAUUUAUUAUUUUAGGAUGCAUUUCCUCAAGCUUCACUAAUGAUAGUUUACUGUUAGAAAGUCGGGGGGGAUCCACUGCAAAGCCAGAUCUUUUGAAAAGAAAAUAAUUUGCAGAUUCAUGACAUAUUUCUAGUUGUUCAGUGUGCCAGCUGAAGGUUGUGUCCUCUGCAUCCACAACCAGAUUCAAAGCCAUGGCUUCUUUUGACUUGUAGAGAUAAAGAUACGGAUUAUUGGUAACUCACAGUAUUAUCUGAUGGUCAGAGUCCGUCAGGUGACUGCUCCACAAAAGGAAUGUGUUCGUGUUACUGAAAUUGGUGAUUAUUUUGUAUACAACAAGCUUUAUCAGUCAGUCCAUGGAAGUUCCUACCUCAGAGCUGACGGCUUUAAGCAGCAGAGAAUCUGGCUACGUAUGCACACACCAGGCGUGAGUGGGGUGUUUGCCUGAGCAACCCCUCCCCCCCAAGAAACGAGCUGCUGAGGAGGUGGGUACAUUUCAGAAUCGGCUCUGGUACCUGUUAGAUGGACAUGGGUGUAAAGUCAGCACACAGAGCUGCUCAUCUGGCUGCUUCACCCAGGGAAUUGUGUGAGGGCUUCAGGACAGUCACUAAGGGGUGCCUAGCAAAAAACCCACCCCAGCGCCAUCAUCCCCUUGCAGCGCAGCCUGUAACGCUGCCGAGGCUUUCUGUGGGCUUGCUCCAGGUUUUGUUUGGCUCCUGGGGCACAAACCAGCCACGGGAGGAGAACAGACUCUUGCUGUGGCCAAGUAGGUGAAAGGCUGCAUGUGUUGCACGGUGUUGCUUUAACAGCACAAAGAGCUUGUGUAAGGGAUGCACAAGCCCCGAGUUGAAACGGGUAGUCAUGAGAUUGGGCGGGAGAAAGGUGAGUAGCGCGACAGGGAAGAAACCAUGGAAAAGGGGAGAUGGAGACGUGCAAAGCAGGGGAGUUUUUCUGGAGGCACAGGUAGAAGGGGUAGGCCUGCUCUUCAGGGUAACGUAGAAAUACAGAAGCUAAUGAGCUUAUGUGAAGGGCAUUAAAGUGAAGGGCAUCUUGCUGGGUUAGCCUGGAAUGGGGAAAAAGCAGGGCAAAUCCGUACUUCAGGUAUCCUUAAGCUUGCCAUGCAUUGAUUUGCUAAUGUAAAAGAAACUGAGACCCCAAGGAAAGCGUUUUAAAAAUGUAGCAGAAAUCACAAUUUUUGUGCUUGUCAUCUUAUGCCUUUUUUUAGUUUUAUGUAGAAGUUGGUAAGAUCAGACAAGGUGCUUUUAAUCUGCCUUUUAGAAGGGGUCAGAGUCUCCAUUACCACCUUGGGGGUGCCUUUGCCAGCAGCACCCAGCCUGGCACCAGCACUGCAGCUGUGCAGCGGUCCUCAUGGAUGUGGGGAAAAUCCUCCUUUCUCCCCAGUUUCAAGAGCACAAGCUCCAUCACUGGUCACCUGGUGAGGCCAGAUGGCUCUGUGGCACGCAGUGGGAAAAGGAGGUGGCAGGCGUGAGCAAGGGGUGCACUGGAGGGACAUGCAGCAGGCAUGUGUAGGGGAAAAAGGGGUUGAGCUAAGGCAGAAAGUGGGAAUUGAGGAUAAUGGGAGAAAAAAUAGUGAAGAUCAGGUUUAUCUGCAUCUUUAGACUUUCAGCUUUUAGUUAGACUUUUGGACUUCUAGUUGCUCUGCCAAGGAAAAAUACAUGUAAGGAGAGAAAGGACGCUAGGCUUUCCUCCCUCGCACUAGAAGGAAAGGGUGAGGAGCUCUGAACUUGGGUUGAGAUGGGUGAAUAAUCAGUUCAGACACAGUGGGAGACAACUAAAUGACAUUCUGACCAGGCUGCAGAAAGAGGGGCUGGAGCAUGGAGCCUGAGGUGAGGGAACCCAGCGGCUAGGUAGGGAUGCUGUUGCAGCAUCACUUUAAGAACAAACCCAAACUUCUCCUCUUUCCCUUAAGACAGACACAAACUCUUCCUUCUUUCUGUCUCACCCCUGAAACAAGUUCCUAGUGCUUGAGAAGCUAUCAGUGAGGGGCUCUGAGGAGGAAACACCCACCACCAUAUAGAAUAGAUGUGUGCAUGAAGGGUGAUGUAGUUCUGUGUGUCAUCAAGAUAUAAGAUUCUGCACCAGAGGAAGCUGAUUCAAGCAGAAGGACACCAGAUGCUGAAGCAAGGAGCAGUAAUUUAUCCAAAGAUACUGCUUUCAAAUGUGAAAAACUCUAACCAGUUACUGCCUUCCACCCUCAUUUGCUAAUUUUAAUUGGCAUCUUCUGGAGGACAAAAGUCUUUAUUCCAAAGACCUCAUUCUUGCCUCUGUGAGACCUGCCAAGAUCCUGAGUAUGGCAAGUGCAGGAGAACCAACCAGUCUUGACAACCAGCACCUUGUAAGAGGCCAUGAAAUCCUUCAUUGGUUAGACCUGGAUGAUUCAUGGUGUCUUGCCUUGGACUGAAUCACCUACUAAGGGGAAAAGAAACAGAGCCACAGAUUUUGUGCCAGAAGAAGCUUUGAAGCUGCGUCCCCAGCCCAGCGUGGCCACAGGAACAGAAGCGGCAGCUGAAUGGGAGAUGCAGGACAGGUGGAAGAGUGGGAGGGAUUUGCUGGAAAGGGGAAACAAAACCAAGGGCAAGGAAGAUAAGGCAACCUCAGCCCAGAAGGAAGGAGAAAUGUGUUGCAAAAGCAGCCUAAGAAAAGCAACUUGAGCGUGACUUGACUGCAGCGCCUGCACAUCGUUCCCCUGUGAUGGCUCAGGUUCGUGGCUUUUCUGCUUGCUCCACAUCCUCUGUCUGGUUCAUGAUACAAUUUUCCAGGCUGUGCUUUGCCUGGCAUGUGCCAUUGCCCACUAAGCCUGUGUCCUUCCCAGCCAGCACGUCACCCAGCGCCAGCCACUCGGUAUUUUGAUCCUUUCUCACACUUCUUACGUCCUUAUGCGGGACUUUGCAUUUGCUUAUCUUAAACUACUUGAUGUUCUUGUCAGCCUGCCCAUCUUUCUUGCCCUUCAGCACACCGGCUGUUUUCCCCAGCGCGAUACAAUCGACGAAUCUAUAAAAAAGUGCAUUUGUCCCAUUUGCCUGGUUGGAAGUGAAGGCAUUUAACUAAGCGCUGGCGCCAGCACCGACACCUUCAGGAAUGCACCUUGCAAGCGGCUACUUUCCGAGCAAGCCCAGACGAAGAGGUCUAUAGGGUGCCCUCGGCUACGUUCCACAUGUCACCCUCUGCCUGCGGCGGCACCACCAGCACACAGCAGCCAGAGGCGCCAGGA